CCCCAUCGUCUAGUGGUUC
rnacentral:siRNA from 1 species